CCUACGAGGGGCAGCAGUGAGGAAUAUUGCUCAAUGGCGGAAACGCUGAUCCAGCGACGCCGCGUGAAUGAAGAAGGAUCUAUGGUUUGUAAACUUCAUUUAUAGGGGAAUAAAGGUAUCCACGUGUGGCUAUUUGCCUGUACCCUAUACAUAAGCAUCGGCUAACUCCGUGCCAGCAGCCGCGGUAAUACGGAGGAUGCGAGCGUUAUCCGGAUUUAUUGGGUUUAAAGGGUGCGUAGGUGGUUUUUUAAGUCAGAGGUGAAAGUUCGUGGCUCAACCAUAAAAUGGCCUUUGAAACUGGAGGGCUUGAGUGUGGUUGAGGUAGGCGGAAUGCGUGGUGUAGCGGUGAAAUGCAUAGAUAUCACGCAGAACUCCGAUUGCGAAGGCAGCUUACUGAGCCAUAACUGACAUUGAGGCACGAAAGCGUGGGGAGCAAACAGGAUUAGAUACCCUAGUAGUC
rnacentral:rRNA from 1 species